GAAAACUUAUGAUGGAGCGAGGGAUCAUUGUUCAAACUUGGAUGCAAGGCUCCUCGAAAUAAAUUCAAAAGAGGAAGAGGAGUUUGUUUCCACCUCUGUCGGCGAUGUAUACAGAACUUACUGGAUUGGAAAAUGCAGAGACGGGAAUGUGGACUCUAAUCUUCUGUACAAGUCCUAUAGCCGGCCCAGCUGCAGAAAAUGCGACGGAUCCUGGACAUACGAUUGCAAAACAAAACACAGAUUCCUCUGCGAGAAGUCGGAUAUUCCUGCAGAGAUCCGAGGUCUUUGUCAACACCCCGUGGGGAAGACUUAAAUCAAAUGAAUGCACCCCACCUCUCCCCAUUCAAUCUACCCCACUCACAAACCCCAACCCUUUUACUCCUUCACACCCACUCCAUCGUACACCAGUCUCCUCCUCUAAUCGCAUCCACAUUCUCCCCCACUACUCUCCCUCUCCCCAUCCAGACCACUCUUCACCCUUCCUGCCCCUCUCUCCUCCGCUCGCCACAAUUACUCCCUCUUUCUACUCUUCUCUUUGCCAUUCUCCCCAACACAUUCUUCUUCUGCUCUGGCUCUCUCCCCCUCGGACCCCAUUCUCGGCCUCUCCUCUCUCCGUUCUCUCCACACACUCUCACCUCAAUUCUGUGAACUCUGGCUCUCAAUUCCCCAACCCAACCCAAUGUGAACAUUUACCCUCCUUGUGCCCCUCCUGGCUUCAUACCCUCGCUCCAAGAACUGUAGACACAUCCUUUCUGCUUUCCUUCUGUCCGUAACUCAGACCGUCGAGACCCGGCAACAUCCUCGUAAAUCUCACCCCGCACUCUUCCCAGCUUAGUGGCAGCUUUCCUACAGGAGGGGGACCAGAAGUGAACACCGCCCUCCAAGCGCGGCCUCAACGACGCCUUGUACAACUUCAAGGUGACUUCGGUACGGUGCAAAAUUAUCGUAAAUAGGGAGAUGUAAAAUUAACGUAAAUAGGGAGAACUAAUAAAUACUGCAAUGAAGGUGAA